rnacentral:rRNA from 1 species
CCAUAGGUUAAUGAGGCGAACCGGGGGAACUGAAACAUCUAAGUACCCCGAGGAAAAGAAAUCAACCGAGAUUCCCCCAGUAGCGGCGAGCGAACGGGGAGCAGCCCAGAGCCUGAAUCAGUGUGUGUGUUAGUGGAAGCGUCUGGAAAGGCGCGCGAUACAGGGUGACAGCCCCGUACACAAAAAUGCACAUGCUGUGAGCUCGAUGAGUAGGGCGGGACACGUGGUAUCCUGUCUGAAUAUGGGGGGACCAUCCUCCAAGGCUAAAUACUCCUGACUGACCGAUAGUGAACCAGUACCGUGAGGGAAAGGCGAAAAGAACCCCGGCGAGGGGAGUGAAAAAGAACCUGAAACCGUGUACGUACAAGCAGUGGGAGCACGCUUAGGCGUGUGACUGCGUACCUUUUGUAUAAUGGGUCAGCGACUUAUAUUCUGUAGCAAGGUUAACCGAAUAGGGGAGCCGAAGGGAAACCGAGUCUUAACUGGGCGUUAAGUUGCAGGGUAUAGACCCGAAACCCGGUGAUCUAGCCAUGGGCAGGUUGAAGGUUGGGUAACACUAACUGGAGGACCGAACCGACUAAUGUUGAAAAAUUAGCGGAUGACUUGUGGCUGGGGGUGAAAGGCCAAUCAAACCGGGAGAUAGCUGGUUCUCCCCGAAAGCUAUUUAGGUAGCGCCUCGUGAAUUCAUCUCCGGGGGUAGAGCACUGUUUCGGCAAGGGGGUCAUCCCGACUUACCAACCCGAUGCAAACUGCGAAUACCGGAGAAUGUUAUCACGGGAGACACACGGCGGGUGCUAACGUCCGUCGUGAAGAGGGAAACAACCCAGACCGCCAGCUAAGGUCCCAAAGUCAUGGUUAAGUGGGAAACGAUGUGGGAAGGCCCAGACAGCCAGGAUGUUGGCUUAGAAGCAGCCAUCAUUUAAAGAAAGCGUAAUAGCUCACUGGUCGAGUCGGCCUGCGCGGAAGAUGUAACGGGGCUAAACCAUGCACCGAAGCUGCGGCAGCGACGCUUAUGCGUUGUUGGGUAGGGGAGCGUUCUGUAAGCCUGUGAAGGUGUACUGUGAGGUAUGCUGGAGGUAUCAGAAGUGCGAAUGCUGACAUAAGUAACGAUAAAGCGGGUGAAAAGCCCGCUCGCCGGAAGACCAAGGGUUCCUGUCCAACGUUAAUCGGGGCAGGGUGAGUCGACCCCUAAGGCGAGGCCGAAAGGCGUAGUCGAUGGGAAACAGGUUAAUAUUCCUGUACUUGGUGUUACUGCGAAGGGGGGACGGAGAAGGCUAUGUUGGCCGGGCGACGGUUGUCCCGGUUUAAGCGUGUAGGCUGGUUUUCCAGGCAAAUCCGGAAAAUCAAGGCCGAGGCGUGAUGACGAGGCACUACGGUGCUGAAGCAACAAAUGCCCUGCUUCCAGGAAAAGCCUCUAAGCAUCAGGUAACAUCAAAUCGUACCCCAAACCGACACAGGUGGUCAGGUAGAGAAUACCAAGGCGCUUGAGAGAACUCGGGUGAAGGAACUAGGCAAAAUGGUGCCGUAACUUCGGGAGAAGGCACGCUGAUACGUAGGUGAAGCGACUUGCUCGUGGAGCUGAAAUCAGUCGAAGAUACCAGCUGGCUGCAACUGUUUAUUAAAAACACAGCACUGUGCAAACACGAAAGUGGACGUAUACGGUGUGACGCCUGCCCGGUGCCGGAAGGUUAAUUGAUGGGGUUAGCGCAAGCGAAGCUCUUGAUCGAAGCCCCGGUAAACGGCGGCCGUAACUAUAACGGUCCUAAGGUAGCGAAAUUCCUUGUCGGGUAAGUUCCGACCUGCACGAAUGGCGUAAUGAUGGCCAGGCUGUCUCCACCCGAGACUCAGUGAAAUUGAACUCGCUGUGAAGAUGCAGUGUACCCGCGGCAAGACGGAAAGACCCCGUGAACCUUUACUAUAGCUUGACACUGAACAUUGAGCCUUGAUGUGUAGGAUAGGUGGGAGGCUUUGAAGUGUGGACGCCAGUCUGCAUGGAGCCGACCUUGAAAUACCACCCUUUAAUGUUUGAUGUUCUAACGUGGACCCGUGAUCCGGGUUGCGGACAGUGUCUGGUGGGUAGUUUGACUGGGGCGGUCUCCUCCUAAAGAGUAACGGAGGAGCACGAAGGUUGGCUAAUCCUGGUCGGACAUCAGGAGGUUAGUGCAAUGGCAUAAGCCAGCUUGACUGCGAGCGUGACGGCGCGAGCAGGUGCGAAAGCAGGUCAUAGUGAUCCGGUGGUUCUGAAUGGAAGGGCCAUCGCUCAACGGAUAAAAGGUACUCCGGGGAUAACAGGCUGAUACCGCCCAAGAGUUCAUAUCGACGGCGGUGUUUGGCACCUCGAUGUCGGCUCAUCACAUCCUGGGGCUGAAGUAGGUCCCAAGGGUAUGGCUGUUCGCCAUUUAAAGUGGUACGCGAGCUGGGUUUAGAACGUCGUGAGACAGUUCGGUCCCUAUCUGCCGUGGGCGCUGGAGAACUGAGGGGGGCUGCUCCUAGUACGAGAGGACCGGAGUGGACGCAUCACUGGUGUUCGGGUUGUCAUGCCAAUGGCACUGCCCGGUAGCUAAAUGCGGAAGAGAUAAGUGCUGAAAGCAUCUAAGCACGAAACUUGCCCCG